rnacentral:rRNA from 1 species
CCCUACGGGGUGCAGCAGGCAGCAGACAGAGACCGUCCGAAUUGCAUUUUGAUGAAAGUAUUCGUGUUUUUAACAGCGAAGAGAUCCUUGACAUCACGCAGCUGCCCGAGGCGAUGGUCAUCAGCGGCGGCGGUGUGAUCGGGAUCGAGAUGGCGUAUGUAUUCAAUGAAUACGGCGUCAAAAUCACGAUCGUGGAAAAGAAUGACCGCCUGUUGCCGGAGGCGGAUGCGGAGAUCGCCAAGAUAUUGGAGAGAGAGAUCAGAAACAGCGGUAUCGAUAUGAUCUUCGGACGUGAAAUCGUCGCUUCAAAUAAAAAUAAAGUGCUGUUGGAUCAGGGCGAGCAGCUUGAUGGGAGAGC